GCAGAAGAGCACCGCCUUCUUGCGCUUCUUCACCUCCUCUGGCGUUGAAGACUUACGCACCUUCAUGUCGUUGAACACCUUGAUGACACCAUCAGAGACAGCCACACCGGAGGCCUAGGAGACAAGCCACGUAUACCUCAUCAAGAAAAGGAUUCUAGGGAACUGCCCCUUGUUUUCUCAGAAGAUCUCAGUCCACGUCCCGAGUGGUCACUAGUGCCCUUCCCAAGGAUAGAAAUGGAAAACUCGUGAAAAGCAGAGCCUUGACCAAAAUGUGAACCCAGAAUUAAAAGAUCCACCGGCUACUGACUCACUUGCUACUCACAGUACUUGCUCUCAGCCUUUGGAUAAAACUGGUGAUUUAGAACUUCAGAUAUGGAAGACCCAAACACCUGAGCCAAGACUCCUCUUCAGAAAGAGCCAAGACCCCACAAUGCUAGAUGGGACCCCAAGGACACCGAACAGUUACAACAAACCCACCAGAACUGCUUAAUACAGUUACUACACAACCGACCCCUGUUCCCAGCUAGGCUCUUUCCCAACCAAGACAAGAAUUGCAACCCCCAUUAAGGACCCUGCCCGACAACUCCCUUCUUCCGGGAAUGGUGCUAGGCCCCAGAAGUCGCUGAUAAAAAUUAACAUGCCAAACUCAA